AGUUUAUCAAGAGUAUGGCGAGAGUACUGGCUCUAUGACCCAUCGGCAACCCUCGGAAACGAGAAGGUGCUAAGUCCAGCCCCGACAGGGGAAAGAUAAUAG
rnacentral:ncRNA from 2 species